rnacentral:rRNA from 1 species
UAGGGAAUCUUCCACAAUGGACGCAAGUCUGAUGGAGCAACGCCGCGUGAGUGAAGAAGGUUUUCGGAUCGUAAAGCUCUGUUGUUGGUGAAGAAGGAUAGAGGCAGUAACUGGUCUUUAUUUGACGGUAAUCAACCAGAAAGUCACGGCUAACUACGUGCCAGCAGCCGCGGUAAUAAGUAGGUGGCAAGCGUUGUCCGGAUUUAUUUGGCGUAAAGCGAGCGCAGGCGGAAUGAUAAGUCUGAUGUGAAAGCCCACGGCUCAACCGUGGAACUGCAUCGGAAACUGGCAUUCUUGAGUGCAGAAGAGGGGAGUGGAAUUCCAGGUGUAGCGGUGGAAUGCGUAGAUAUAUGGAAGAACACCAGUGGCGAAGGCGGCUCUCUGGGCUGCAACUGACGCUGAGGCUCGAAAGGAUGGGUAGCGAACAGG